rnacentral:rRNA from 1 species
AGAACGAACGCUGGCGGCGUGCUUAACACAUGCAAGUCGAACGUGAAAGUCUUCGGAUGAGUAAAGUGGCGCACGGGUGAGUAAUACAUAAGAACGUACCUACAGAUGGGGAAUAACUGCGGGAAACCGCAGCUAAUACCGCAUGACGUCGCAAGACCAAAGGGGGCCUAUCCUUGGAAGCUCUCGUCUGUAGAUCGGCUUAUGUCCCAUUAGCUAGUUGGUAGGGUAAAGGCCUACCAAGGCUAUGAUGGGUAGCUGGUCUGAGAGGAUGAUCAGCCACACUGGAACUGAGACACGGUCCAGACUCCUACGGGAGGCAGCAGUGGGGAAUCUUGCACAAUGGGCGAAAGCCUGAUGCAGCAACGCCGCGUGGGGGAAGAAGGCUUUCGGGUUGUAAACCCUUUCAGUUGGGACGAAGCUCCGUCGGUAAAUAGCCGAUUGGGGUGACGGUACCUUCACAAGAAGCACCGGCUAACUACGUGCCAGCAGCCGCGGUAA